AAGUCGUAACAAGGUUUCCGUAGGUGAACCUGCGGAAGGAUCAUUAACACGUAUCCAACGUUAAACCCGCGUGCACACAGCGACCUGCUCCCCUCAAUUUCGGUAUUUUGGCAAUCCCUGGUAUCAUCGCCGAACAGUUUUGAUUCAGGGACAUCCAAAGGGCCGGGGUAGGGUAUUAAAGUAGUAGUCAAUGCAAAGCAACCUGGUUUCUUUGAAGCAUGAGCCGGAGAACGGACCGAGUGGUAGUUCAAAGGUGCCUUCUGUCGCGCACUGUGGAGACGAGGUAGGGAUACGUCCCUACCACCAAAUAAAUACUUGAACAACUUUAACAAUGGAUAUCUUGGUUCUC
rnacentral:misc_RNA from 1 species